ACGCUGGCGGCGUGCCUAACACAUGCAAGUCGGACGCGAAAGCCCCGCAAGGGGCCGGUAGAGUGGCGCACGGGUGAGUAACACGUGGAUAACCUGCCUGGCAGAGGGGACUAACCUCCCGAAAGGGGGGCUAAUGCCGCAUAAGACCCCUGGGCGAAGGCCCGGGGGUUGAAAGGGGAGACCCGCUGGCAGAGGGGUCCGCGCCUGAUUAGCUGGUUGGUGAGGUAACGGCUCACCAAGGCUGCGAUCAGUAGCCGUCCUGAGAGGGAGCACGGCCACACUGGAACUGAGACACGGUCCAGACUCCUACGGGAGGCAGCAGUGGGGAAUUUUUGGCAAUGUGGGCAACCCUGACCAAGCAACGCCGCGUGGGUGAGGAAGUACCUUGGUACGUAAAGCCCUUUCGGCAGGGACGAAGCAAGUGACGGUACCUGCAGAAGAAGCCCCGGCUAACUCCGUGCCAGCAGCCGCGGUAAUACGGGGGGGGCGAGCGUUGUUCGGAAUCACUGGGCGUAAAGGGCGCGUAGGCGGCCCGCACAAGUCUGCGGUGAAAACCCCCGGCUUAACCGGGGGCCGGCCGUGGAAACUGUCGGGCUGGAGGACGGGAGAGGGCGGCGGAAUUCCCGGUGUAGCGGUGAAAUGCGUAGAGAUCGGGA
rnacentral:rRNA from 1 species